UACGUAGGGACCGAGCGUUGUCCGGAAUCAUUGGGCGUAAAGAGCGUGUAGGCGGCUAUUUAAGUCCUGCGUGAAAUCCUGCGGCUCAACCGCAGACGGUCGUGGGAAACUGGAUGGCUAGAGUGCGGGAGAGGAGCGUGGAAUUCCCGGUGUAGCGGUGAAAUGCGCAGAUAUCGGGAAGAACACCCGUGGCGAAGGCGGCUCUCUGGAACGCAACUGACGCUGAGACGCGAAAGCGUGGGGAGCAAACGGG
rnacentral:rRNA from 1 species